GACGAACGCUGGCGGCGCGCUUAACACAUGCAAGUCGAACGGAAAGGCCUGCUUUCCCUUGUGGAUUGCGGGUACUCGAGUGGCGAACGGGUGAGUAACACGUGAGUGAUCUGCCCCCAACUUGGGUAUAAGCCUGGGAAACUGGGUCUAAUUCCCGAUAGGACUGCAGGGUGGUGCCUGUGGUGGAAAACAAUUUUCUAGUGGUUGGGGAUGAGCUCGCGGCCUAUCAGCUUGUUGGUGGGGUAAUGGCCUACCAAGGCGGCGACGGGUAGCCGGCCUGAGAGGGUGGACGGCCACAUUGGGACUGAGAUACGGCCCAGACUCCUACGGGAGGCAGCAGUGGGGAAUAUUGCACAAUGGGCGGAAGCCUGAUGCAGCGACGCCGCGUGGGGGAUGACGGCCUUCGGGUUGUAAACUCCUUUCGACCGCGAGGAAGCCACCUGGUUGGAAGGGUGGUGACGGUAGUGGUAGAAGAAGCACCGGCUAACUACGUG
rnacentral:rRNA from 1 species